rnacentral:misc_RNA from 1 species
GGUGAAUAGGGUUUGAUUGGAACGGAGAGAAAUGCAAGAAUUACUUGAAGCAAAUGACAAUUUAGAGGAGAAGAAGAGCUUAGGGGUCUUAGCAGAGACAGAAGAGGGCGGACAAAGGGAAGCAUAAGGCGAAGGCGAUGACGGCGGUGGCCGUUGGGACUUGCCGCCCUCCCUGAAAUUGACCCCGCAGGUACUAAUGGCUGCCAUUUCUGU